UCCCGUGUGAUCUAGCCGUUAGGAUUCCUGGCUCUCACCCAGGCGGUUCGGGUUCGACUCCCGGCGCGGAAG